rnacentral:misc_RNA from 1 species
GAACUGCGAUAAGUAAUGUGAAUUGCAGAAUUCAGUGAAUCAUCGAGUCUUUGAACGCACAUUGCGCCCCCUGGCAUUCCGGGGGGCAUGCCUGUCCGAGCGUCAUUGCUGCCCUUCAAGCCCGGCUUGUGUGUUGGGUCGUCGUCCCCUCCGGGGGACGGGCCCGAAAGGCAGCGGCGGCACCGCGUCCGGUCCUCGAGCGUAUGGGGCUUUUUCACCCGCUCGAUAAGGACCGGCCGGGCGCCAGCCGGCGUCUCCAACCUUUUUUUCUCAGGUUGACCUCGGAUCAGGUAGGGAUACCCGCUGAACUUAAGC